AACGAACGCUGGCGGCAUGCCUAAUACAUGCAAGUCGAACGAGAAAGCUCUUCGGAGUGAGCAGAGUGGCGCACGGGUGAGUAACACGUAGGUAACAUACCUUUCAGUGGGGGACAACAUCGGGAAACCGGUGCUAAUACCGCAUAAGCAGGUAACUGGAAAGGCUGCCUUUGGCAGUCGCUGAGAGAAUGGCCUGCGGGACAUUAGCUUGAUGGUGGGGUAAUGGCCUACCAUGGCGACGAUGUCUAGCUGGUCUGAGAGGAUGAUCAGUCACACUGGAACUGAGACACGGUCCAG
rnacentral:rRNA from 1 species